rnacentral:rRNA from 1 species
UACGAAGGGGGCUAGCGUUGUUCGGAAUCACUGGGCGUAAAGGGCGCGUAGGCGGCCGAUCAAGUCGGGGGUGAAAGCCUGUGGCUCAACCACAGAAUUGCCUUCGAUACUGUUUGGCUUGAGACCGGAAGAGGUUAGUGGAACUGCGAGUGUAGAGGUGAAAUUCGUAGAUAUUCGCAAGAACACCAGUGGCGAAGGCGGCUGACUGGUCCGGUUCUGGCGCUGAGGCGCGAAAGCGUGGGGAGCAAACAGG